CGUGAUCCGGGGCUUGCUCCGGUGAAAGUGGCGGACGGGUGAGUAACGCGUGGGAACCUGCCCAGUGGUCGGGGGUAACUGCGGGAAACUGCAGCUAAUACCCGGUAAGCCCUACGGGGGAAAGAUUUAUCGCCAUUGGAGGGGCCCGCGUCGGAUUAGGUAGUUGGUGGGGUAAAGGCCUACCAAGCCUUCGAUCCGUAGCUGGUCUGAGAGGAUGAUCAGCCACACUGGGACUGAGAUACGGCCCAG
rnacentral:rRNA from 1 species